rnacentral:lncRNA from 1 species
CGACAGAGGGAAAUUAGUCGAGGGGACAGAGAGACAAGCCCCCUGAACUUAGGAAACUCUGAAGCAUGGAGCUGGAGUCCAGAAAAUGACUCCAAUGACAACUGCUCCGGAUCUGUGCCAGGAGCCACGCCCCGGGCUGCCACGCCCGGAGGGAGGGGCGCCCUAAGACCUGUAGCGUGGAAUCCGCACUGGGAAAGCCUCAGUAAACUCCAGAACGCAACUACUGCACGUUCCAAUGUCCCGCCACCUUCCCAGUGCCCCAGCUAGGACUUCGAUCACCUCAGCAAGAACUUACCUCUCCUUUGCAGUGGAAAAGAGGGAAUCCUGCCUAAAACCUACUUCACGGUGUUAAAUGUUUGUAUUAUCGGGAAAUAACCUUAAUUUAUUGACCUGACAAGUCACUAGGUUUCAGCUUAGCCCAAAGGACGAAUCAUGAUGACAUUUCAGGCACCCUCAAACCUUAUCACAGCGACUCAACCCUGAGUGGUUGAGGUCAGCUCUUUAGAUAAGAGAAAGGUGUUAUAAACAUAUGAAUAUUUAUUGAGAGAAGUGACAACCGAAAAGUAAUCCCAGCACUUUGGGAGGCUGAGGAGGGCGGAUCACCAGGGCAGGAGUUUGAGACCAGCCUGGCCAAUAUGGUGAAACCCCAUCUCUACUAAAAAUGCAAAAGUUCUGUACUAAAAAUACAAAAGUUAGCCAGGCGUGGUGGUGCGUGCCUGUAGUCCCAGCUACUCCAGAGGCUGAGGCAGAAGAAUCGCUUGAGCCUGGGAGGUGGAGGUUGCAGUGAGCCGAGAUCGCACCACUGCACUCCAGCCU